AUUGAACGCUGGCGGCAGGCCUAACACAUGCAAGUCGAACGGUAACAGGGAUCAGCUUGCUGAUUCGCUGACGAGUGGCGGACGGGUGAGUAAUGUCUGGGAAACUGCCUGAUGGAGGGGGAUAACUACUGGAAACGGUAGCUAAUACCGCAUAACGUCGCAAGACCAAAGAGGGGGACCUUCGGGCCUCUUGCCAUCGGAUGUGCCCAGAUGGGAUUAGCUAGUAGGUGGGGUAACGGCUCACCUAGGCGACGAUCCCUAGCUGGUCUGAGAGGAUGACCAGCCACACUGGAACUGAGACACGGUCCAGACUCCUACGGGAGGCAGCAGUGGGGAAUAUUGCACAAUGGGCGCAAGCCUGAUGCAGCCAUGCCGCGUGUAUGAAGAAGGCCUUCGGGUUGUAAAGUACUUUCAGCGGGGAGGAAGGGAGUAAAGUUAAUACCUUGGCUCAUUGACGUUACUCGCAGAAGAAGCACCGGCUAACUCCGUG
rnacentral:rRNA from 1 species